CCUACGGGAGGCAGCAGUGGGGAAUAUUGGGCAAUGGAGGAAACUCUGACCCAGCAACGCAGCGUGAAUGAUGAAGGUCCUCGGAUUGUAAAGUUUUUUUUUAAGGGAAGAAGAAAGUGACGGUACCUUAGGAAUAAGUCUCGGCUAACAACGUGCAAGCAGCCGCGGUAAUACGUAGGCGGCAAGCGUUCUCCGGAAUGACUGGGGUUAAAGGGUGCGUAGGUGGGUGGACAAGGUGGUAGUGUAACUCAGAGGCUUAAACUCGACACUACUACCAAGACUGUUGGACUCGAGUGCAGGAGAGGCAAAUGGAAUUCCUGGUGUAGCGGUGGAAUGCGUAGAUAUUAGGAGGAACACCAGUGGCGAAGGCGAUUUGCUGGACUGUAACUGACACUGAGGCACGAAAGCGUGGGGAGCAAACAGGAUUAGAUACCCUUGUAGUC
rnacentral:rRNA from 1 species